GGGCUGUUAGCUGAGAUGGAUUAGUGACGGAGUGAAGUCCCGUAGAGGUUGGUUCGAUACCAACACAGCCCACCA
rnacentral:tRNA from 1 species